UUAAUUUGACUCAACACGGGAAAACUUACCAGGUCCAGACAAGAUUAGGAUUUACAGAUUGAUAGCUCUUUAAAGAUUUUUGGGAUGGUGGUGCAUGGCCGUUCUUAGUUCGUGGAUUGAUUUGUCAGGUUGAUUCCGGUAACGGACGAGACCCCAACCUACUAACUAGCCCUGGUUGCUUUCGCAGCCAGCAGUGCUUCUUAGAGGGACUCUCGGAAUGAAACCGAAGGAGGUGGGGCAAUAACAGGUCUGUGAUGCCCUUAGAUGUCCUGGGCCGCACGCGCGCUACACUGAUGCAUUCAACGAGCCUACCCUGUGCCGAGAGGUAUGGGUAAUCUGAGAAACUGCAUUGUGAUGGGGCUAGAUUAUUGCAAUUAUUGAUCUUCAACGAGGAAUGCCUAGUAAGCGCGAGUCAUCAACUCGCGUUGAUUACGUCCCUGCCGUUUGUACACACCGCCC
rnacentral:rRNA from 1 species